rfam:Beta vulgaris subsp. vulgaris Bvchr4_un.sca009.con0069.1, whole genome shotgun sequence.
AACACAAAUUGCAAAUCGUGGUUUGCUUGAAAUCAUAACCCAAACCGCAAUUUUAAAAGCUCAUUUGAUUGCGAAAAAACGAUUUGGGUUGCGGUUUGGUGCGGUCCAGAUCGCACUUUGAAUAGCCCUAAGCUCAAGGAGAGCAGAAAUCUCGUGUGGAAUAGAAGGGUAAAAUCUCCUUUGAUUAUAAUUUUCAAUACAAAUACAAAUAAUGAAAGUGUGGCCUAACUAUCCUUUAUACCUUUGGAAAUUGAAGCUAGAGGUGUUAGAAGAGUUACCACAUGGAUAACUGGCUUGUGGCAGCCAAGGGUUCAUAGCGACGUUGCUUUUUGAUCCUACGAUCGAUGUCGUCUCUUUCUAUCAUUGUGAAGUAGAAUUCACCAAGUGCUGGAUUGUUCACCCACCAAUAUGGAAUGUGAGCUGGGUUUAGACCGUUGUGAGACAAGUUAGUUUUACCCUAUUGAUGAUAGUGUCGUGAUUGUAAUUCAACCUACUACGAGAGGAACCGUUGAUUCGCACAAUUGGUAGUUGCGCUUGGUUGAAAAGUCAGUGGUGCGAAGCUACCAUGCGAUGGAUUAUAUCUGAAUGCAUCUAAAUCAGAAUCCGGGCCAGAAUUGAUGCAUGUGCCUGCUGCUUGAUUGACGUCCUAUAGUAGGGGUUUUAGCCCCCAAGGGCAUGUGUC